rnacentral:rRNA from 1 species
CAGCAGCCGCGGUAAUACGUAGGGGGCGAGCGUUGUCCGGAAUGAUUGGGCGUAAAGGGCGCGUAGGCGGCGACAUAAGUCUGAAGUGAAAGUCCCAAAUUCAAGUUAGGAAUUGCUUUGGAAACUAUAUUGCUUGAGUGCAGGAGAGGUCAUCGGAAUUCCCGGUGUAGCGGUGAAAUGCGUAGAGAUCGGGAGGAACACCAGUGGCGAAGGCGGGUGGCUGGACUGUAACUGACGCUGAUGCGCGAAAGUGUGGGGAGCAAACAGGAUUAGAUACCCUGGUAGUCCACACCGUAAACGAUGAAUGCUAGGUGUAGGUGGUAUCGACCCCAUCUGUGCCGUCGCAAACGCAAUAAGCAUUCCGCCUGGGGAGUACGGUCGCAAGAUUAAAACUCAAAGGAAUUGACGGGGGCCCGCACAAGCAGCGGAGCAUGUGGUUUAAUUCGAAGCAACGCGAAGAACCUUACCAGGUCUUGACAUCCAAUUAAAGCUGAAGAGAUUCAGUGUGUGCUUGCACAAAUUGAGACAGGAGGUGCAUGGCC